rnacentral:rRNA from 1 species
UGGGGAAUUUUGGACAAUGGGGGCAACCCUGAUCCAGCAAUGCCGCGUGAGUGAAGAAGGCCUUCGGGUUGUAAAGCUCUUUUGUCAGGGAAGAAAAGGUACGGGUUAAUACCCUGUAUUUUUGACGGUACCUGAAGAAUAAGCACCGGCUAACUACGUGCCAGCAGCCGCGGUAAUACGUAGGGUGCGAGCGUUAAUCGGAAUUACUGGGCGUAAAGCGUACGCAGGCGGUUAUGUAAGACAGAUGUGAAAUGCCUGGGCUUAACCUGGGAAUUGCAUUUGUGACUGCAUAGCUAGAGUGUGUCAGAGGGGGGUAGAAUUCCACGUGUAGCAGUGAAAUGCGUAGAUAUGUGGAGGAAUACCGAUGGCGAAGGCAGCCCCCUGGGAUAACACUGACGCUCAUGUACGAAAGCGUGGGGAGCAAACA